rnacentral:lncRNA from 1 species
CUUUUUCUCGCGGGAGUGGGAAUUUGUGCGAGCGCCAGCGUGCACCUCUGUUCAUGGUGCAUGAACGCGCACGCUGCAUGUGUGUGUGCUUCCCUCAUGUGUGCGUGCAUGCUCUGCUAUGCGUGUACAUGCAAGUGAACGUGCCUUUUUGGUCGUGUACCCGUGUGCUCCAAGGCAAUCUCUCCUAUAGGCGCUCUGAACCUCGCGGGUGUCCUGCUCUUCUUAGGACACUUCUUC